UCUGAGCUGUCAGCACAGAGCUUGAUGCAGGGUUGAAUCCAUGAACUGCAAGAUCAUGACCUGAGCCAAAGUUGGACCCUUAACUGACUGAGCCACCAAGGUGUGCCAGACAGGGAAAUCUUUUUUACAAGUGGUAAAAUUCUAUUCUACAACAAAAUCUGCUUCCUCAUGAGGUAAUGAGCCUUUCAUCAUGAGAAGUAUGUAAGCUGAGGAGGAAAGAUUAUCUGCUGGGAAUGAUAUAGAGAAUAUUCCUACAUUGAUAAGAAAUUGGAACAAGUGACAUCUAAGGCUCUUUCCAACUCUGAGCUUAUGAGUCUGUGUUGUAAACUAUAGAGAAUAGAAAGAUACCUAUGUCUAAGAUAUGGCUAGCAUAACCAAAAUCUUUUAUAUAAACACUUUAUUGCCUAUAGGUACUAAAAAACCUUGUUUAACUAAGAAUUUUCUCAUUAAUAAAUGAACAAUUUACAAUUCAUAGUUGUCAAAUGAUAGUAUCUAGAAUAUUGAAAGAAAGAAGAAUGCUGAGAAAGAAGUCUUUUUUUUUCCCUUUUGCUACAAUACAGCAAGCCAAUUUAUCAACAACCUGUUUUUUUUUUUUUUUAAUCCCUUUGUUCUCUCCAGGAAGCCCUUGGAGACAACAGUGAAAAAAGGAGGCGAGUCUUGAGGAGUGUCUAAAUUUACCAGACCAAAUUCAGCAAUUUUGGUCACCCAGUUUGGGGUACUCUGCUGUGGCAGCCCUAGAAGACCAACACAGGAAGUCACAUACCAAGUCCAGAGUCAGUAUGGGACUGACCAAGAGCAUGGAUACAGGCAAGCAUGAGCAAACUGGGGACCAAUACUGCAAUAAUACACCCCAGAGAGUAAAGAGGAGGAGCCCAGGUCCCUUUAGUCACAGAAGUUAACGGGAACAGGAGCAAAAGCUUGAAACUAACUGAGAGAUAGUCACUGGAGUCAGCCGGACAGAUAUCAAAAUGUCAACUUGAUAAUGGUUAAAGCUAAAAGACCAAUCUGGAUCUACAUCUGCCUCCAACCCAGCAUUGAACUUUCCCCAUCCCCAGCAGGAGGUGCUGGGUACUGUAGCAGCAGCCCCACCCCCUCCCCGAGGGACAGCCUGCCCUCCAUGCCAUACUUACUACACGGUGCAGGGCUGGGCAGCACACAUGCUCUUGGAAAAUAGGAAGCUGAGCUGGAAAGCCCAAAGGACUUCUUUCUCACAGACCUGCCAAUCAGGUAAGCCACACUGACUCCUCCGGGUGGAAAGCCAGGAGGGUUACUUUGAUGAGAGGUUCUCUCUCCUGUUAGCAGCUGUGUAUUGAAAUCACCCCACUGCUGUAUUGGCUCCAGAUUUCAGGGAUCCUAAAGUACUGGGACUAUAUUCAACCCUUAUUUUUAUCCCCGAUACCUGGCAUUAGUUAUAACCUAUGAGCAGCACUCAGGAACUGAAUUCUUGUUGAAUGAGUGACUGAUUCCAUUCUAAGAUCUAAAGAGGCAAAGAAUGAAGUGCAAAGAGUUAGUGGCCUAAGGUGAAAAGCUUAGACUUUGGAACUGGGCCAAAGUGGGGUAAAUUUUCAGUUCUAGCAUUUAGGAGCUGUGCGGUCCUGGCAAUUCUUGAACUGUUCUUAAAAAUUAGGGGGC